AUGCUUACCUGGACGGCGUCAAUGAAUGAUCAAGAUGGUUCAUGGCCUAGGGUGAUGACUUCUAUUGCACUUGGGAGGGGUGUUCACCUAAGGUCUCCUCAAGUUGGAUAUCCUACGUCGUAAUUUGUAGUAGUGCGGUCCUGCGUUCGCAUGGCCCCUUC
rnacentral:snRNA from 1 species